AUACGAAGGGGGCUAGCGUUGUUCGGAAUUACUGGGCGUAAAGCGCGCGCAGGCGGUUUUCCAAGUCAGUGGUGAAAGCCCAGAGCUCAACUCUGGAACUGCCAUUGAAACUAGAAAACUAGGGUACGGGAGAGGUGAGUGGAAUUCCGAGUGUAGAGGUGAAAUUCGUAGAUAUUCGGAAGAACACCAGUGGCGAAGGCGGCUCACUGGCCCGUUACCGACGCUCAGGCGCGACAGCGUGGGGAGCAAACAGGAUUAGAUACCCCGGUAGUCC
rnacentral:rRNA from 1 species